UCUACAUUCUUGUCUUCUUCUGAGUUUAUGUUUUGAUUUUCUCUGCCACCAUAGUAGGCUUUCAUGGCCAAUUUCUGUUUUUUGUUAUUUGCUUAAUUUUCUAGUCUAUUUCUUGACUUUGAUCUUUAUGUUAAAGUUGGGUUCUACUCACCUGAAUAGUGUGGAAAUUGGUAAUAAAAGCCAAAUUUUAGCUUUUUCAUGCUGUUGUUAUCAGAACAAGUUCUGGGGAUCUGUAAGUUUUUUGUGCUUUCAAGGUGGUGUGAUCCAGGGAGAGUUAUGGUCAAUGUUCUCUCCUGAUUUAUGUGCUGAUCCUGCUUGCUCCCCUGCAAUCACAAGCUUUAGCAUUCUUCUUGGCCCUGGAACUGUGACCAGGUCACCUGUUCUUCUGCAUUCCCAAAUGCUAGUACUGUAAUGCCGGAGGAACUGAGGUAGGAGAGAGAUUAGAGAGUUUUUAAUAUUUUAUUAAUGGGAGAGUAAGAUUGACUGGACAGGACUCUCGUCUCAGAUUAUCCAGUCAGACAGAGAUAAGUAUACUGGAACCAAGGAAUCCAUAUUGGUCCCAGGGCUGGAGGACCCAAAGAAUCCAGCGUCCAGCAUACAGCUGCCAGAUGCCAUUCUCCAGCCCUGAAUGGAGGAACCCCAACUUCUUAAAUACCUUUUUGGAGACAAAGAAGAGAAAGGGAGGGAAAGUUUUUUUUUUAUCAGGGAGGGGAAGCCAUAAAACCUAAAAAUUCCAGAGACAAAGAAGUAAAGAUAUCAUGGGUUAAUCUUGGAAUAUUCUAAAGGAAUAUUGUAAAUCCAUAAAAGAGUCAGGAGAUCUACUCUUUUAUCUUGCUAAUUUAUAACCCGAGAGCGAAUAAUCCUUAGUUUUACUGGGUCAGAGACAGAACAGUUAAGGAAACUGAGACAGGGAAACUGAGUCAGGACAGUUAAAGAGAACUGUGGCAUAACAUUCCACACUCUCUCUCCUAAAUAUUCAAACCUUUGAAUCUUAGCACCUUCCUCUAGGUACCCAGGAGGUCUUUGACCCACCUUAUGUAAAGCAAAUGAGCCAAAAAUAAAACUAGAAAAAAUGUAAAGACUCAUAUGGCAAGAGCAAGUCUCUCCCUGAUAAUCCCAGAGUUAACAGCUGUACAAAGGCUCCCUUGUUGCAAGCAUGUCAGGCCCUCUACAGUUCUGGAGCACCAUCUCAGCCAGAGAAUCCAGUUUGAGACGGACAGUUAGGUCUGGUCAUUUGUGCACUUAACUCAGUCUCUGCUUACAAAGCAGCAGGGUCCAAGGCCCAUUCAGAGAGGCAGCCCUCUCCAUGGGGGAUGAGGCUUGUAGUAGCUCCACCUGUCCCCACCCAGAGAAACAGGACUGCUAUUAGAAUACAGAUUUCUGAGCAGAUUAUACACAGUUAGACCAUCAAGGCAGGCAAACUCCAAACUUUUUAGGUGCCUCAAGCCAAACUUCAAGGUCCUUUGAAAUACUUAAUGAACUGGGGUUACAGGAAUGGAAAAACAGAUCAGACUGCCAGUGUCAGGACAGGUGUCUGAUUUCUAAAACUUUUCUAAAAAAAAUAAUCUCAAAACUGAGUCUGCCAGGGAAAUUUUAACAAAAUAAGGGAUUCUAAAACUAAAACAUCCAAAUUCAAUCUGCACUAGUGAGAUAGAGGGUGGGGCAGAAAUGCCUAAGGCAAAGUGAAUAGGAAGCUAGGGGUUCCCAUUCUUUCAGGUAUUUUGAAAAAAAAAUAUAUCAGUUUCCCCAAUGUUCUAUCUCUACCUCCCUUUUUUUUUUUCACGGAAAGGAAUUAUCAAAUGACCAUUCCCCAUAUAAAUCCCAAGAGCAAAUCAAAAUCCCUAUACAUAACAGACUAAUACAGUAGCAUUUCCUUCAAAGCCCUCAAACAUAACAGCAAUUACAGUUUUAACAAAUCCCAUCCCAAGUCUUAAACACACAGUAAUAGAUGAUCCAGGCAAGGUUUAACAGUCAUCAACCAUUCCCAAAGUCCCUCAUAUCAGUCCAAAGUACAGUCGAUGCAGGGUCAAGUCCAUGGUCUCAUUUUUAAACUGCUGCUUCAGGCUAUGAAGUGACAGGAGGCUCUCAUUCCUUGCAGAGUGGGUGUGUCAUGCUGGCAAUCAAAGCUGAUCAAAGCUGAUCCAGGUUCCAGAAGCAAGCCAAUAUCUGUAAUUUGACCAAAAUCUAGAACAAAAACACAAAUCUAACACAUAAAGAUUAGAUCAGUCUCAGAUAGACUCAGUUCACCAGACUGUUGCAAAAUACGAGGAGGCCAAAAUGGAUUGGCCAGCAGUUUCCUAUGUGAAGAGAUGAGUUUGCUUUACAGGCCAAGCAAACGGCUGCAGUCUUACAGACCCCUGUUAAUUGUCCACUUAUCAUGUAGAAACCUUAAAGGAACAAAACACAAAUAUCCAGUAACAGACAGAUGACUAGGCGAAAUACUCAGUUGCCCAAGCAUUUAGGAUACAAUGACUACAUAUAGCCAGACUGAAAAUAGCAAGGCUUGACAUAAUUGAAUUGCAGUAACAGUUCUAUUGACCAUUGCUCUGAUCAGAGAGAUCAGUUACAGAAGGAAAAAAUUCAAGAACAUAACUAUAACAUAAGCAGUUGAGUUUUAACAGCUUAUCAAUCAAUUGUCCCAGUAACUGUCACAGGGUGGAGCUUUAAAACUCCCAAAUAGCAUUAGCUAAUUAACUCUAAGCCCAAAAACUCCCAUAACAGAUGUCAUUAAUCAAAUUUCGGAUAAAUUAUUUAUCAUAUCCUUAUAAGUCAUAACAGAAAGCAAUUUUGUCUCAGUAAGUUCACAACUUAGAACAAUUAUCAUAUCUAGGUAGAUGUUACAUGAGUGAACAUUAUAUACAUACAAAUCAUUUUGCUUUUAAAAUACCCAAUACAUAGAAAAACAUCCCAAAUUGCAUAUUGUCCAUAACAAAAACAUUUUCAAAAGGACAAAGGAAAAAAACUUAUGUCCAGAGGCCCUUUAAAUAACCUCAGAAUGACCCAAUACAAUCAAUUUAAACUUAUACAAAAGACCCAAUUCCACAUAAAAGAAUUCAAGAAGGUUUUUUUUAACAUAGCAAUUAAACUCUUAGAAAUAUUCGUACCAAAGUAUGGAUCACAUUUACGACCAUUUUCUUUUAACCAAGAAAACUUUUAUGUAUCAAAAAACAAAUAUUCAAUCAAUUUAACCUAAAAAUAAGCAUGUCCUUAAAAAUCACUUUGCUGCACUGCCGCAAUCAGAUAAAAAAAAAAGCGGCAGGAACAUACUUAGAGAGGAGAGGGGAGGAGAGGAUUCCACAUGGCCCCCCUUCCUCCAAUCCUGACCUCUAGGAAAAAAACUUCCCUCAGGUUCCCCACUCAAUUUCCUACAUGGGGAUCCUUUUUUCAAGAUUUAACCCAUCAGUUUCCCAAUAUCAGGUUUCUUCCCAAAUCCACCCAUUUCCAACUUUCUCUUUCCCCCUGACUACAUACUUAAACAAUCUCCUUUCCUUUAAAUGUAAGCAUACUGCUGUAUAUUAACUUUCCAAACUUUCAAAUCCCUUUCAAUCUAUUUUUUCUUUCUUUUUUUUUUUUUUUUUUCCUUUCUCUCCCUUUUUCUCACAGGCUGCUGCAGUCAGCCAGAGACAGAGAGAGAGAGAAAGA